AACGAACGCUGGCGGCAUGCCUAACACAUGCAAGUCGAACGACCUUCGGGUCUAGUGGCGCACGGGUGCGUAACGCGUGGGAACCUGCCCUUAGGUUCGGAAUAACUCCCCGAAAGGGGUGCUAAUACCGGAUAAUGUCUUCGGACCAAAGAUUUAUCGCCUUUGGAUGGGCCCGCGUUGGAUUAGCUAGUUGGUAGGGUAAAAGCCUACCAAGGCGACGAUCCAUAGCUGGUCUGAGAGGAUGAUCAGCCACACUGGGACUGAGACACGGCCCAGACUCCUACGGGAGGCAGCAGUGGGGAAUAUUGGACAAUGGGCGAAAGCCUGAUCCAGCAAUGCCGCGUGAGUGAUGAAGGCCUUAGGGUUGUAAAGCUCUUUUACCCGGGAUGAUAAUGACAGUACCGGGAGAAUAAGCUCCGGCUAACUCCGUG
rnacentral:rRNA from 1 species